CAGCCCUAAACGAUGCGCGUUAGGUGUAUCGGUGACCACGAGUCACCGAGGUGCCGAAGGGAAACCGUGAAACGUGCCGCCUGGGAAGUACGGUCGCAAGGCUGAAACUUAAAGGAAUUGGCGGGGGGAGCACCACAACGGGUGGAGCCUGCGGUUUAAUUGGACUCAACGCCGGGAAGCUCACCGGAUAAGACAGCGGAAUGAUUGCCGGGCUGAAGACCCUGCAUGACCAGCUGAGAGGAGGUGCAUGGCGUAGACGUCU
rnacentral:rRNA from 1 species